AUCGAACGCUGGCGGCAGGCCUAACACAUGCAAGUCGAGCGGAGCGAGGGUGCUUGCACCUUAGCUUAGCGGCGGACGGGUGAGUAAUGCUUAGGAAUCUGCCUAUUAGUGGGGGACAACAUUCCGAAAGGAAUGCUAAUACCGCAUACGCCCUACGGGGGAAAGCAGGGGAUCUUCGGACCUUGCGCUAAUAGAUGAGCCUAAGUCGGAUUAGCUAGUUGGUGGGGUAAAGGCCUACCAAGGCGACGAUCUGUAGCGGGUCUGAGAGGAUGAUCCGCCACACUGGGACGGAGACACGGCCCAGACUCCUACGGGAGGCAGCAGUGGGAAAUAUUGGACAAUGGGCGGAAGCCUGAUCCAGCCAUGCCGCGUGUGUGAAGAAGGCCUUUUGGUUGUAAAGCACUUUAAGCGAGGAGGAGGCUCUUAAGGUUAAUACCCUUGAUGAGUGGACGUUACUCGCAGAAUAAGCACCGGCUAACUCUGUGCCAGCAGCCGCGGUAAAAC
rnacentral:rRNA from 1 species